GAUGAACGCUGGCGGCGUGCCUAACACAUGCAAGUCGAGCGAACGGACGAGAAGCUUGCUGCUCUGAUGUUUGCGGCGGACGGGUGAUUCACAUGUGUAUAACCUACCUAUCAGACUGGGAUAAUUUCGGGAAACCGGAUCUAAUCCCGGAUGAUAUUUUGAACCUCAUUGGUCAAAAGUGAAAGUCGGUCUUGCUGUCACUUAUAGCUGGCUACGCGCUGCAUGAGCUAGUUGUGCAGGUAACGGCUUACCAAGGCAGCUAGGCAUAGCCGACCUGAGAGAGUGGUAGGAGACAUGGGAGGGGAGACUGGGUACAGACGCCUGCGGGAGGCAGCAGUAGGGAAUCUUCCGCAAUGGGGGAGAGCCUGACAGAGCAAAGCGGCGUGAGUGAUGAAGGUGCUGGGAGCGGAAAACUCUGUUAUUAGGGGAGAACAUAUGUGUUAGUAACCGUGAAGAGAGUGACGGUACCGGGUCAAAAAGCCACGGCUAACUACGUG
rnacentral:rRNA from 1 species